UGGCUGAGCGGUAAAGCGCAUGGCUUCCGAACCAGGGGGGCCCGGGUUCGAAUCCUGG
rnacentral:tRNA from 1 species